rnacentral:rRNA from 1 species
AGAAUCAACGCUGGCGGCGUGCCUAACACAUGCAAGUCGAACGCGACUGGGGACUUCGGUUCCCAGUUGAGUGGCGAACGGGUGAGUAACACGUGGGUGAUCUACCUUCGAGUGGGGGAUAACGUCCCGAAAGGGACGCUAAUACCGCAUGACGUUCCGGAUUUUAAGACCUGGAAACCAAAGCCGGGACCGCAAGGCCUGGCGCUUGAAGAGGAGCCCGACGUCCGAUUAGCUAGUUGGCGGGGUAAUGGCCCACCAAGGCGACGAUCGGUA